rnacentral:lncRNA from 1 species
UUUGGGACUACGGGACAGUUUUUCGGGAGAUCCCACUAUACUUGGUAUGUUUUGGAUUGAGAGCGCGGGAUACCAAGAGAUCCUCGGUACCUGUAUAUCUAUUUAUAUUAAGAUACCAAGAGAUCCCCAGCGUAUAUGAUGACGAUACCAAGAGAUUCUCGAGAUACCAAGGUAACCCUGUUGUGGAUGAUGAGGAUAUCAAGAGAUCCUCGGGAUACCAAGAGAUCCCUGGCUAUUAUUCCUUGUUGAGAACAAUAUUCGUUGUAUUGUUACCUUUGUUUUCUAUUACUAUUUCCGUAUUUAUCUGCUUUAGAAUCUCGCUGUAGACUUCAUUUAAACUUUUUCCAUUGUCUUAUUUUUUUUUUAUCUCAGUAGGGCCCUGACUUUCCUCGUCACUACCCGACCGAGAUUAGGCUUGGCACUUACUGAGUAUCGUUGUGGUGUACUUACGCCUCUUCUGCAAAUGUUUUUCAUGUGCAGAUCCAGGUACCUCUACUCAGGCGCACUAUCGGUGAGUAUCACACCUCCUCUUUCACCACACCCGUAAGGGUGUAAAGGAGUUUUUCUAAUUAAAAGACAAUCGAAACGGGAUUCGUUAUUAAAAAUUC